rnacentral:rRNA from 1 species
CACGUAGGGCGCGAGCGUUGUCCGGAAUUAUUGGGCGUAAAGAGCUCGUAGGCGGUCUGUUGCGUCCGCUGUGAAAACUCGGGGCUUAACCCCGAGCCUGCAGUGGAUACGGGCAGACUAGAGGUAGGUAGGGGAGAAUGGAAUUCCCGGUGUAGCGGUGAAAUUCGUAGAUAUCGGGAGGAACACCGGUGGCGAAGGCGGCGGUCUGGGCCGGAACUGACGCUGAGGAGCGAAAGCGUGGGGAGCGAACAGG